UUCAAUUCAAUACAAAAAGUGCAAUGCAUACAAAUUUCUCUCUCUAGAAGUUGUUGCUCUCCAUCGAGAACCUUAACCUCCAUUAAUGGAGGGAACAAGUUCACUUUGAGUUCAUGCUCUUAGCUAUAACAUGGUAUCAGAACCAUUUCCCUUUCCACUCUAGAUUUCGAGUGUUUUUUUUUCAAUCGAUCGUUUUUGUUGUGUGACCUAAUUGCUAGGUUCUCCUUUUUGCGAGGGCCCUUCUCUGAAGAUUCCUCUGGAGCUUGGUAGAGCCAAGAAUGGUCUAUACUUUCUUUGUCCCAAGUGCCACAAUUGUUGUGCAUCUUCUCGUGGAAUUGUUUUACCUCAUGUUAUCUAUCAUACUUCAAAUGCUCAGUUUGUCCCUUCUUUAGUCAAUUGUGGAAAGGUCUUGAUUGAAAGUAAAUGUCAAGAUUCACCAUCACCUACUGUAAAAUACUCUCAAACAUUUAAUAAAGAAGCUUGUUCUGUUGUUUA